AAAAUGAAACUGCGAAUGGCUCAUUAAAUCAGCUACGGUUCCUUUGAUAAGCACAGUUACUUGGAUAACUGUGGUAAUUCUAGAGCUAAUACAUGCAACAAUGCCCAACCUUUGCGGAAGGGUGCACUUAUUAGAUCAAAACCAACCUGGCUUCGGCUGGAAGUUUUGAUGACUCUGGAUAAUUGUUUCGAUCGCACGGCCUAAGCGUCGGCGACGUUUCUUUCAAAUGUCUGCCCUAUCAACUAUAGAUGGUAGGCAAAUUGUCUACCAUGGUUAUAACGGGUAACGGGGAAUCAGGGUUCGAUUCCGGAGAGGGAGCCUGAGAAACAGCUACCACAUCCAAGGAAGGCAGCAGGCGCGCAAAUUACCCACUCUCAAAACGAGGAGGUAGUGACAAAAAAUAACGAUGCGGGACUCAAUCGAGGCCCCGUAAUMGGAAUGAGUACACUUUAARUCCUUURACGARGAUCAAUUGGAGGGCAAGUCUGGUGCCAGCAGCCGCGGUAA
rnacentral:rRNA from 1 species